AUCGAACGCUGGCGGCAGGCCUAACACAUGCAAGUCGAACGAGUGGUGGACGGGUGAGGAAUGUCUGGGAAACUUCCCGAUGGAGGGGGAUAACAACUGGAAACGGUAGCUAAUACUGAAUAGCAUAGGAUGGGCCCAUAUGGGCUUAGCUAGUAGGUGGGGUAAAGGCGCACCGAGGAGACGAUUCCUAGCUGGUCUGAGAGGAUGACCCGCCGCCCUGGAGCGGGGACACGGUCCAGACUCCUACGUGACGCAGCAGUGGGGAAUAUGGCACAAUGGUCGCGAGCCUGAUGCAGCCAUGCCGCGUGUAUGAAGGAGGCGUUCGGGUUGUAAAGUACUUUCAGCGGGGAUGCGUUACCCGCAGAAGAAGCACCGGCUAACUCCGUGCCAGCAGCCGCGGUAAUAC
rnacentral:rRNA from 1 species